rnacentral:rRNA from 1 species
AUUGAACGCUGGCGGCAUGCCUUACACAUGCAAGUCGAACGGCAGCACGGGAGCAAUCCUGGUGGCGAGUGGCGAACGGGUGAGUAAAGUAUCGGAACGUGCCCAGUCGUGGGGGAUAACGUAGCGAAAGUUACGCUAAUACCGCAUACGAUCUAUGGAUGAAAGCGGGGGAGCGCAAGACCUCGCGCGAUUGGAGCGGCCGAUAUCAGAUUAGGUAGUUGGUGGGGUAAAGGCUAACCAAGCCGACGAUCUGUAGCUGGUCUGAGAGGACGACCAGCCACACUGGGACUGAGACACGGCCCAGACUCCUACGGGAGGCAGCAGUGGGGAAUUUUGGACAAUGGGCGCAAACCUGAUCCAGCCAUGCCGCGUGCAGGAUGAAGGCCUUCGGGUAGUAAACUGCUUUUGUACGGAACGAAAGGUUUGGCUUAAUACGUUGGACUCAUGACGGUACCGUAAGAAUAAGCACCGGCUAACUACGUGCCAGCCGCCGCCGUAA